GCAUAAAUGUCUUCUUUUGAGAAGUGUCUGUUCAUAUCCUUUGCCCACUUUUGGAUGGGGUUGUUUUUGCUUGUAAGUUUAUUUAAAUUCCUUAUAGAUUCUGAAUAUUACACCUUUGU